GCCUGUAAUGCGCACGACGGUUAACAUGUCAUUACAAUCUCCUUCUGGUUGCCAAUUUACUGCAGCAACAACAGAAGCAUAUUUAGUCACUUGCCAAGUGGCACCACAUGUGUUGGCGUCCUUCAGAGUGGGACAGGACUGAAGCCCGCUUCUCCAGCGUCACAGUUGAUGGGACACGCGUUCUU